GAAUUUCUUUAGUGACACCCGGCCCUUCCCGCUCCUCAUUUCCUCCCUUCUCCCCCCAGCCACAGCCCAAAGACCGCCCCAGCCGGGUCCCCCCGCAGGUGCCGCUGCGGCCGCUCCCGGGCCGGGCCGAGCAGGAGCUGCAGCCCCGGGGCCCGGCCGGAGCUGCCGCUGGCACCGAGGCUGAGCGGGACGUCGGGGCCCAAGGCAGCGGGAGCCCGUGAAGAGCCGCCGCCGCACCGAGGGAGCCCUCCCUGCCCGGAGCCACCAGCCCGAGCUCAGCAGAUGUUGAAGUUGUGGCAGAUUCUUGGGGGAGAAGCUUCCAUUGCCCCACCCUGAAAUGGCCUCUUUCUUGGAGGAGGAUGUCAGCGUUGUCCCUGAGUGUUCAGGGGAGCAGCCUGUCAACAGGGCUGCAGCUGAGACAGCCUUGCCUGGCAACACAAGCAGUGGGAACAGUUCUCUGAAGCCCGAGGAGCCUGAGCUCCACCUGCUGUACCUCGCCCGGAGGGCUGCCCUGCGCAGGCAGAAGUGCCCGAGCUCCCAGC